rnacentral:tRNA from 1 species
ACAUAUAUGUAUAUACCCCAUA